AUAAACUGAGUUGAUGGUUGGGUAUCCGCAACAGCCUGAAACCAAUUACUGCGGGCCCAAAACGUUAAGAGACAAAUAUCAAUAACACAAAUAACAAUUAAACCAUAGAGACUAAAAACAACAGUUCAUCGAGUUUGUUAAAGUCCUUGCUCUAUUGCAUUUCGGGCAAAUCGUUUUAAAAGUUCGUACAUCAUCACAAUCGUAUGUGUUCGUUAAUGCAGUAUGGUAGUACUCUCGCAUUACAGACUUGAAUGCGUUGAAGUUUUCCAUACUCAAGUCAAGUAUGACCGUCAAUGUGUUCCAUGUUCUGAUGGUUCUUAUCCAGUAUGAUCUUUGGUAGGUUGUUGUUUUGCACCGCGGGACUUCGUACUUUACACCUUUCGUGUUAGUGGACGAUCUUGUAUAUCUUGUUGUCUUGGCGUGCAAGGCAAAGGACGAGCUGGUAAUGCCAUGAGUUACUUUGAAGAAAUGAAUCAUAUCAAGGUAUUCAUGCCAGUAACAUAUGGGCAGUAGAUGGAGAGUUUGCAAUCUGGAUUUGUAAUUUACUGAACUAAUAAAUGGAAGAUUAAGAAUGUAUUUUGUUGCACGUCUUUGAGGGUUUUCUAGUUUGAGCAGAAGUUCGGUAGAUUGGGGUGUCCAGACUUGCGUCGCGUAACCAAGAUGUGAUCGUACCAGUGACAGGUAAAUGGUUCUUCUUGUUUUAAUGCUGUUAAUUGUUCGUGUGUUCCGU